CCGCACAUUCAUGCUUACGUGAGCCAUUCGAAUUAGUUCUGUUUGUGUUUUUUUCACUUAAGUAAUAAUAUUUUUUCACUUUUCACUUUUAACACUAAUAUUUUUUCCUGUUAAAACGAAGGCGAGAAUAAAAAGAGAAUGAGAAAAUGGAAACGAAUGAAACAAUUUUUUAAUUAAACAAUCGAAAAUUGUAAUGGUUGAAAACACGACUGAUAUGUGUGCAUGAAUUUUAAACAUCAGCUACUAAUGGCAUGCGUAUGUAUGCAUGUAACUGAGGAAGAGACAACUUAUAACAACACUAAAACUAAUUUAACACGAGUUGAAAAAGUUAACAUUAAUUUUGUGUUUCCUUGAGAACCCCGGGCUACUAGGCUGCGAACACAAGGCGUUGACGUAAAUACUGGACAACUUCCCUGUGGUUGCGAUUUUAUGACUUUUUACUGGAAAUUAUUUUUUAACAUGCGUCGAAUUGGUUAACCAUUUAAUAAAUAAAAGACCGUGAUAUAUGAUGAAAGUAAUUCCGAUUUAUUGUCUGUCUAUAGAACUGUGUAUUGUCUGUUUAGAAUAUUCUGACAUGUGGCCGGUACUGUCUGGAGUAUUAAAGGAAUCAAAGUAAGGUGAAACUUCAAUAUUGAACACAGCUAACAUGAUACCCAUACACACGAGCAAUAUGGCAACGCCAUUAUGUUAUUCAUUCUUGGUAUUCCAGAUUUUCAACUCACAGAUAAUUUUCUUUUUAAUUUUAAUAAUGAUUUUAAGUGUUAAAGAGAAAGUGAAAGAGAAGCCGUCGUUGGUAAAAAUUAGUAAAGAAACACCCUAAAUUGGUAACAUUAUGGUAACGAGCGUAGAAUUCGUAGAUUACUAAUCGUAAGCAUUUUAAGAGGGUGGCAACCAUGGCGCCAACAAAAAAAGCAACAGAUCUGCAAUCUGACGAAGUGUUGAAACUGUCAGCAGAUCACCUAGCUCUAAAGAGGAAUGUGUUGGUCGUCCAACCCAAUCGACAUACCGGAGUGAAUGGCGAUCACGGGCGAACUUUGUAGCAGUACUUCUCACCAGAAAAAAUUCCCCAAUCAGGUUCAUCUAAAUUUGAAGAAAUCGUGUCACAUGCCCUGACCUUUCAUGCGUCGAAGUUUGAGGGAAAAAAGUUAUCGCAAGCUACAACAAGUUCAUCUUGAGCAACUACCAACAAAAUUUUUAAUAAGAGGAAGUAGUAUAUACCUAAGGUCCAUCGAAACUAAAAGUUAAUGACAAACAAUUGAGUAUCGCUGCUUUAUGUUCACCAUAAUUGAAAGUUUGGCGGCCCUAAUAUAUUGAAGAAUAAGUAAGAUUCGCUUACUCCUUGUUGAAGAAGGUCGGCGGAACGUUUUGAGAUGGUUUGAGCAAUUUCUGGUUGUGAAGAUAAAAACCUACGAUUUUACAUGGGUCGCAAGGCGUAUAACGUUUUGGGCAGUACAAAGACUUUGUUAACACAUGUGUGAUCGCUACAAGCCAAAACCAUUCUUCCAUUUGCGGUAGGAAGAAGGAAAAUUGGUAAAAAACGUUAGUGUAACAUUGCGCAAGUUGUCCAUUAAGUGCAAUUUUGGGACCUACCUGAACAUGGAUCUACGAAAUCAAUUUAUGUUUGGACCCGAAGAGCCACUUGCCUAAAUUCAAUUGCGCAAGUCUACCCCAGAAUUGAUAAGUUAUUGUAAAGCGAGAGUAAAACUCAUACAUGUUCAAGUGAUGUAGUGCGGUCUGACAGGGUGUGAUUGGUUGUCAAUCUUGAAAUUAAAUUGGAAUGAGAUUUUUAAGGACUAUAAUACAUUGCAUGUAGCGAUUUCAACAAACAUUCAAGGACAGCUAUCGAGACUAACUGCAAAACACAAAAAUGUUUUUGAGAAAUCUGGUGAUAAAAUGAAAGAUAAACAAGACAUAAAUAAAGCUAGAAGUAACUCUACACUACUGUUCUUAAAACCUCAACAAAUGCCAUUUACACCCAAAUCAGCUGUUAAAGAUUGACUUGCGUGCGAUGCUAUGGGACAGGUGUUGUGUUGUCUCAUAUAAUUUAUGAUAAGGUAGUUGGCUCCGGCAAAACACAAUUAUCCAAAGCUUGACAACCGUUGUACGCUGUUCCACGUAUUCGCGACCAUGGAAGACCCUUCAACCUCGUUAUGGACCACCAGCCAUUACCCCGGGUUUUUCACGAAAAUUUCAAGCUACUGCAAAUGACGUCAUCAAGAUUUCGCAAUUGCGUAGUUGCCACAAAAAAAAACAAAAAAGUACACGCUAUCUGCGGAUUACGUUUCUUUUAUAGCUGGCAGUCUCUUAACUAGACAAAGCAAAAAAUAAACUAUUAUUGCGCUGAACAGUACUAAGGACGAAUUUGUUUCUCUAUCUGAAGCAUCAAGUGAAACAGUUUAUUUAAACAAGAGGCACACAUCGAAGAUGACAAUAAUCCGCUUAUAAUAAAUAUUGACAAUUUAGCUGCUCAAAGCAUUGCGAAAAAUCCAGUCCUAUAUGGUCGAAGCAAACGUAUGACGUACAAUAUAUAUGUAUUAGAGAAGUCGUAAAAACGAAAGUAAUCGAAUUGAAAUACGUUUACACACAUUCUAACGUUGCGGACGGAUUAACCUGAGUAAAGUUAACCAAGAUUAAUUUACAAAAGUUUUAGGAGUACAACCAACUGGUUAUUUUGUUUGAAAACUAUUAUGGUAACAAUUUUAAAGAAGUGUUAGGAAAUGCAACUUGGCACAUUUAUAUUUUCCACAUCGUUUCACAACAUUAUUUAGCUAACAUUUUCAUGUAUCUUUUACUUUCUGUUUAUAGUGUUUUGCUUUACUCUUCCACUCGAAAUAAUGACUUAAAACUAACAAUCUCCCCUUGGCACAAAACACAGUUUUUGUAUAGAUAAUAGCAGACAAAGUCAAUGGUUAUAGAUAAUUCCUCCGUUGCAUGAAUAAGCAUAGAUAUCUUUAAAUGCCUGCUAUCAUAUUUUCUUCAUAUUUAAAUCGGCGCCCUGGGAAAAUACCCAAAUAAUAUAACUUCCCAGUAAGAAGUUAGUUACCAACAUAAAUCAGAAAUUUAACAGUAGGUAUAGUUGAUAGUUAAGAAUACACAUACGCAUACAGAAACGCACUAGAUAAUUGUAAAUCCAACAAUCGGUUUCUACUGUCAAGCCAGGGAAAGUUACGGGAACCAUCAACGGUGUGAUAUGAAGAGAAACUUGUGAUGUGAACUAAGUUGGGAUAAGCUAUCACUAAUGCAUACAAUAGCUACAAUCAAAGCUCAGUGGCGGUGUGGUAGUAAGUCAGCUGAGAACUAUGAAGCAACGAAUGCUUGCAAAAACUGCCGCGGAUGUAAGUUGAAAUAACUAUCAUCCGCCUGUCUUCCCGCCCUGUUAUUACCCAUUCUCUUGUCCAGAACAGGGCCGGUAUUUGACCCAAACUAUGACAAUAGAUAGACUCAAAUUUCAUAGCCACGGACUAAAAGCAUGGUUACAGAGCCUCAUAUGUCACAACAAGUAGAUUGUUUCACAAUAUAUUAUAAACUGGCCAGGGUUUAUACAGCGACCUAACUGUCUUCAUUGUCAAAGGCCGUCUCUUUCAAAGUCGGCAUUGAAAAUAUGUAUCGACGAAUUCGAAUGUACUCUCCGCAUACAAGAUUCCAAAGAUCUAAUUUUUGCCACAAACCCGAAACGGAGCGGUGAGACCAUGAGCUCCUAACAGCUACGCUCGGCAUAAACUGGGCACAAUAUUUAGUAAUCCAUAGACUAGAUACUUAUAAACUCUCACUAUUGCUCCCGAUCUCAUUACUCUCUUGGCAAGUUUGCGAGGUAUUUGUUAUAUCUUACGGCUUGCUCGCUUUCCCUUACGUAAACGGAACGCGAAUGAUACCAUCCUAUUGCAAAAUAUUCCUCACAAUAAUGUGGCCAAGCAAGUAGCUCUCAUUAAUUUCAUUGAUAUACAUGGAGCCGCCGAUAAUAUGUCAUACGUGACCAUAGAAUGAGCACUGAAAAACAAAAAUAUUCCAAACUUAGUUAUCAACUGGAUAAUCAUUAUGGUGAACUCUAGGCUCAUUACCUCGGAGAUAGCAAAGACGUCCUUGACUAUCAGGGACAAUAGAUGGUCCGCUUAAGGGAGCGUACUCUUUCCUCUAAUUUGGACCGCAGCCAAAGAUAAGCUGCUGGUGAAACUAAUAAACGACUUCCGUUUACUUCAUGUCAUCCUUAAUUAUUAAAUGAGGUGAAAUACUUGGAUGUCCAUUUGGAGAAAAGUUUAACCUGGAACCUUCAUUUAAAUCGUUUAACUGAAAACGCGGCCAGAGCACUCUUCUCCUGUCAACACCCAUAUGCCAAAAAUGGAGCAUAAGCCCAAAAAUGAUCCAUUGGUCUUACACCAUCAUAAUACUUCCUAUGCCAACCUAUGCAUCUUUCGCCCAGUGGCCUAAAAUAACGUAAGAAACGACGGCAACGACACUAAACCAAACUCAGCGUUUCGUUUCCAUUGACAUAACCAGCACGAUGAGAUCUUGCAUCUUAGAAGCGCUGCUGGGCACAAUAAUAACAUAAAAGAGACUUACCUAAGCGCACUUAGAAUGUCUAAUAUCGACGACCUAAGCCCAGCAAAUUUCAGCGACCGACUGGAGAUAGUGAAAAAUUUCAUAUACGCUAUUACCGGUUCCGUAUCAACCACAUCGGGUCGGGACGGGCCAGGUUUUGGACCCACGGUGGAAGACAAAAAAUAGUAUAUCGAUGGUUCAAAAUCGGAAAAUGGCAAAACGGGCUGGGAUACGUGGCCCGAGUUCGCAAAAAUUUAUCCCAAUGGGGGAUAUAAUCCCUUCAUAUUCCAAGCAGGUCUAUGCAAUUUUUUCAUAUUUUCGACAGUCAAACCGCCAUAAAGGCUUUAAAUGGGCAUACGAUAACAUCUAACCUUGUAUUGGAGUGCCUUCAAAUUUUGAAUGAGUUAGGCAAGCCCAAAGACGCGCAUCUAACAUAGACGCCUGGUCAUUCGGGUAUUGAGCCCAACGAAUGGGCUGACUGUCUAGUGCAUAGUCUAGCUGACAGCGGGACUCGAUGGACAAUGCUAAGUGCUAAACCUUUCGGUGGUGUACCAAGAAUCAAUAUUAGUAUUCUGCCAUCGCAACGGGCACAGAAAAAUUCGGAUUGCCAUUUGAAGCAAUGUGCAGAACAAGGGCAAGUAAAAAGAUUCAUCAAAUAUUCCGGCAUAGCACGUGAGCUACUGGAGCUAAGAACGAACGAACUACAUUUGGUCACAGGCUUCUACACGGUUCAUAGUUCCCUCAAGUACCACCUGAAAAAAAUGGGUAUCUCCGACACAAAUUUAUGCAGAUUCUGCUAUCACAUUCUAUGUGAAUGUAAGGCUAUCUGCAGAAUUAAAUCUCAUGUGUUUUGCGAGCAUUUUAUAUCGCCGGACACGAUAUAGUGCUCCGAAUCAAAAAAAGGUAGCGGGAAUCAAGAAUCUUUAAACUGGAAGGCUAGGGGCACUGGCGAGUGCAAUAGAUCACACAAUUAAUAAUAAUAAUAAAUUUUUAUCGUUUUCCUAAAAAGAGCAACGUGGUACAGAAUCCAUGGCCAAAUUAAUCGAUUCGUUGAAACCACCAUUAAAUCUUUUUGGGUACCCUUUAUUUUUUGGACAGAUUCAACAAACGUAUUCUCGUGCUAAUGGAAACUAGUCGCUUGUUAAUUCGAGAUACAACUCUGCCCACGUCGCCACACGAGAACUCACGGCCAAUGGCAUAUACCAUGACGGGGCUCCUCAAUGCUAAAGCAACCCCCUUUGGAAUGACAUGAUAUCCUCGAACACUUUUCUGUUUUUUCGAGCGUGUUAAUGAUGAUGUCGUGCAUCUGCCGAUUUAUUGGAGUCAUGUACCCGGAGAGAUGGCAACAACUCGGAUAUUACGAAUUAAAAUCCGUUAAAACUCGUUUAAUCAUUCCAUGCCAAAGAGUUUAUUACUCAGGAUAUGAAGUAUUAUCUCGAAAAUUAGAACUGCGAAAUUAGCGUUUUUAACCCUUUCAUUGACUGGAAAACGAUAAUGUGUGUUGAUAAUCGAUUAGACUAACCCACUUCUUUGACUUAUAACGAACGUUUUCCAAAAAGUUUGCCUUGUGGAGCUUAUUUCACCCGACUUCUGAUUGGAAAUAUUCAUAUUUGCUGCCUGCAGGGAACUAUUUCUUCUAUAAUGCGUUUCCUCCGAUCCAAAUUUUGGGUACUAAAAGUUGUGACGUUCGCGUAUGUAAGGUAGAAAAAUCGACUAAUAACAGUGGGAGAGAGAUUUUUAAAAAAAGAAAGAGAGUUCGAAGUUUGCCGUAAAUUAUAACGUUGGGUAUCAUUUGAGUCGAGAAAAGAUGAAGAAGUCAGCCUGCUUUAAACGUCUAAACACAGAACAAGUGAUUGAUUGUGUAAAAAACAGCCGAAAUUUCGACUGUAUAGUACCUUACGAAGCUUAUGGGAACAACUGUAAAGUAGUACAUCACCUAUGUAACAAGCAUAAGCAUCACUUAAAAAAAAAAGAGCGCUCAUUUUACGUUUCUGGAUUAUGGGUCUAAAUUGAAUCAUACAAGCCUAAUCCAUAUCCAAACAAACAAAAAAAAAAUAACUAC